rnacentral:pre_miRNA from 1 species
CAGGGGUGGGGUCUAACAAGCCAGUGAUCUCGGGCUUCUCCACCAUGGCCAGUGCUCUGCUCCUCCUCACCAUCCUCACUCAGGGCACAGGUGA